rnacentral:rRNA from 1 species
UACGUAGGGGGCAAGCGUUGUCCGGAUUUAUUGGGCGUAAAGAGCGUGUAGGCGGUUUGGUAGGUCCGUUGUGAAAACUCGAGGCUCAACCUCGAGACGCCGAUGGAAACCAUCAGACUAGAGUCCGGAAGAGGAGAGUGGAACUCCUGGUGUAGCGGUGAAAUGCGCAGAUAUCAGGAAGAACACCCGUGGCUAAGGCGGCUCUCUAGUACGGUACUGACGCUGAGACGCGAAAGCGUGGGGAGCGAACAGG